GGAAGGUACUGCUGAAUGGCCGGCAACUGGUCCUGAAAACCGGGGCAUCGUGAUGAGCGACGGGCGUUCGAUUCGUCUACCUUCCGCCA
rnacentral:tRNA from 1 species